rnacentral:rRNA from 1 species
UUUGGUGGCGAUAGCGAAGAGGUCACACCCGUUCCCAUACCGAACACGGAAGUUAAGCUCUUCAGCGCCGAUGGUAGUCGGGGGUUUCCCCCUGUGAGAGUAGGACGCCGCC